CCGAUGCUUACUCCCUUCCUCCCUCCCUUUCCCCCACCCCCCCCCACCCCCCCGCCUCCCGCCCGCGGCGGGCAGGCCGUGGAGCCGAUCGCCGAGCGAUUGGCCGCGCCUGGCAGGGGGAGCCGCACCUCGGGCGGCGGCGGGGCCGUGGCAGGAAACGGCGGGGGACGGGGACGGCCCGGCGGACACCUUCCUUCCCUCCCUCCUUUCUCCCUCGGCCGCCGUGGACGUGGCCCGUUGCCGCCGGCCGGCCGGCAGGCACCAGGUGCUGAAUGUCAUCUAGCAGUACUCAUAUUUGCGUGGGAAGGAGAAAGAAGGAGGACACUAGGCAAGUACUAAGCCCUUAGAAUUCUGUUUUACAUAUAUCUCCUCAUGUCUUCCCCCCCCCCCCCCCCCGGAACAUAAGCAGAAUUAAUUCCCUAAUCUUAUAACUAUGAUAAUUCUAAAAUUGAGUAGCCACUGAGUAGCCCUGAUAGCAUCCAGGUUUUCCCUGGUCGCUUACUCAGCCUGGACAGAAUUGAGCAGCUCAGAGCCAGAUUUGCUCUCUGCAACCAGGGUGUUCUCCUCAGGGUUGUGCUCUGGCAGUUGAACACUGAUCUCAUAGGUGUGUGGAGUACUUGGGCUCAGCACACAGUCUAGUGGCAGCUGCCAUGUUUGUUUAAAAACAGCGAAACAGGUGGUGCUGGUAUGGCCUACCUGCUGUGCAGAAGCCUCCUAGCAGAAGGACUUACCCAGGCUGUCGGAGAGCUGUGCUCAGUUCCCCUUUCUGUCAAAGAGGAUGUCAAAUCUCUUUGCCCGUCUUGCAGCAUAGCGAUCGAAAUGAGAAGAUGAAAGCAGUUCAGGGUUACGGAUCGAUGGGGUGUGCUCCUCACCUCUCCUGCGGCAGCUGUUCCGCAGUACACAAAGUGAUUAAAAGUUAACUGGGUAAGAGCGCAACAGGGAUAUGACACUGCUACUGCAGUUUAUGGUGCUCAUGUUUGGGUGAGAUUAAGUGGACUCCAAUCUGUUCUCCAAGGUCUGCUUACAUAACAAAGGUUUGGAAUGCUAAAAUGCUUAGAGUGAUGUAGCUUAUUUUGCUAGUGGUCAUUAGUUUAAUGUAUCUUGUACCAGGUUUAUUAGAGUACAUGUGUUGGUAUUUCUACAUUGAUAAUGGAUUGUUCAUGGAGAGAAGUAAUACACCAUGCUUGUUCCUUUCUGUUUUUGUCUUUAAAACUGUAUUGUUUCUGGUAGCUAGCUAAUUUUGAGUUCUCAGGGAGUAAUGUAGUAAUAUAG
rnacentral:lncRNA from 1 species